rnacentral:rRNA from 1 species
UACGUAGGGUGCGAGCGUUGUCCGGAAUUAUUGGGCGUAAAGAGCUUGUAGGCGGUUUGUCGCGUCUGCCGUGAAAAUCCGGGCUCAACCCGGACUUGCGGUGGGUACGGGCAGACUAGAGUGUGGUAGGGGAGACUGGAAUUCCUGGUGUAGCGGUGAAAUGCGCAGAUAUCAGGAGGAACACCGGUGGCGAAGGCGGGUCUCUGGGCCGAUACUGACGCUGAGGAGCGAAAGCGUGGGGAGCGAACAGG